UACGUAGGGUGCAAGCGUUAAUCGGAAUUACUGGGCGUAAAGCGUGCGCAGGCGGUGAUGUAAGACAGUUGUGAAAUCCCCGGGCUCAACCUGGGAACUGCAUCUGUGACUGCAUCGCUGGAGUGCGGCAGAGGGGGAUGGAAUUCCGCGUGUAGCAGUGAAAUGCGUAGAUAUGCGGAGGAACACCGAUGGCGAAGGCAAUCCCCUGGGCCUGCACUGACGCUCAUACACGAAAGCGUGGGGAUCAAACAGG
rnacentral:rRNA from 1 species